rnacentral:SRP_RNA from 1 species
UCUGUGGCUAGGCCGGGGGGUUAGGCGUCCCCUGUAACCCGAAAUCGCCUUAUGCGGGGGCCGAAAACUUGGGGGCGGCAUGGAUCUUUUCUAUCCAUCCCCAAGUCCUAUGAUGAUAUUUCGUCCUGUGGGGUAAGACGGUGGAGGGGCCUACUUCGGAGGAAGUAGGUAACCUCCUUUACCUACCGAACCCCGUCAGGCCCGGAAGGGAGCAGCGGUAGGUAGGACGUCGACGCUCACAGGGGAGCGGAAUGGAGUAGGACUUGGGGGCAAUGGGUAGAAGAGAUCCAUGUCCACCCCAAGGAAGCCACACC